GAUGAACGCUGGCGGCGUGCCUAAUACAUGCAAGUCGAACGCUUUGUGGUUCAACUGAUUUGAAGAGCUUGCUCAGAUAUGACGAUGGACAUUGCAAAGAGUGGCGAACGGGUGAGUAACACGUGGGAAACCUACCUCUUAGCAGGGGAUAACAUUUGGAAACAGAUGCUAAUACCGUAUAACAAUGACAACCGCAUGGUUGUUAUUUAAAAGAUGGUUCUGCUAUCACUAAGAGAUGGUCCCGCGGUGCAUUAGCUAGUUGGUAAGGUAAUGGCUUACCAAGGCGAUGAUGCAUAGCCGAGUUGAGAGACUGAUCGGCCACAAUGGGACUGUGACACGGCCCAUACUCCUACGGGAGGCAGCAGUAGGGAAUCUUCCACAAUGGGCGAAAGCCUGAUGGAGCAACGCCGCGUGUGUGAUGAAGGGUUUCGGCUCGUAAAACACUGUUGUAAGAGAAGAAUGACAUUGAGAGUAACUGUUCAAUGUGUGACGGUAUCUUACCAGAAAGGAACGGCUAAAUACGUGCCAGCAGCCGCGGUAAUACGUAUGUUCCAAGCGUUAUCCGGAUUUAUUGGGCGUAAAGCGAGCGCAGACGGUUAUUUAAGUCUGAAGUGAAAGCCCUCAGCUCAACUGAGGAAUUGCUUUGGAAACUGGAUGACUUGAGUGCAGUAGAGGAAAGUGGAACUCCAUGUGUAGCGGUGAAAUGCGUAGAUAUAUGGAAGAACACCAGUGGCGAAGGCGGCUUUCUGGACUGUAACUGACGUUGAGGCUCGAAAGUGUGGGUAGCAAACAGGAUUAGAUACCCUGGUAGUCCACACCGUAAACGAUGAGUGCUAGGUGUUUGAGGGUUUCCGCCCUUAAGUGCCGCAGCUAACGCAUUAAGCACUCCGCCUGGGGAGUACGACCGCAAGGUUGAAACUCAAAGGAAUUGACGGGGACCCGCACAAGCGGUGGAGCAUGUGGUUUAAUUCGAAGCAACGCGAAGAACCUUACCAGGUCUUGACAUCCCUUGACAACUCCAGAGAUGGAGCGUUCCCUUCGGGGACAAGGUGACAGGUGGUGCAUGGUUGUCGUCAGCUCGUGUCGUGAGAUGUUGGGUUAAGUCCCGCAACGAGCGCAACCCUUAUUACUAGUUGCCAGCAUUCAGUUGGGCACUCUAGUGAGACUGCCGGUGACAAACCGGAGGAAGGUGGGGAUGACGUCAAAUCAUCAUGCCCCUUAUGACCUGGGCUACACACGUGCUACAAUGGCGUAUACAACGAGUUGCCAACCCGCGAGGGUGAGCUAAUCUCUUAAAGUACGUCUCAGUUCGGAUUGUAGGCUGCAACUCGCCUACAUGAAGUCGGAAUCGCUAGUAAUCGCGGAUCAGCACGCCGCGGUGAAUACGUUCCCGGGUCU
rnacentral:rRNA from 1 species